AGCGCAGGCGGGAAGACAAGUUGGAAGUGAAAUCUAUGGGCUCAACCCAUAAACUGCUUUCAAAACUGUUUUUCUUGAGUAGUGCAGAGGUAGGCGGAAUUCCCGGUGUAGCGGUGGAAUGCGUAGAUAUCGGGAGGAACACCAGUGGCGAAGGCGGCCUACUGGGCACCACUGACGCUGAGGCUCGAAAGUGUGGGUAGCAAACA
rnacentral:rRNA from 1 species